rnacentral:sRNA from 1 species
AUUAGGUGUGGUGGCGCACAUCUGUAAUCCUAGUGGCUAGGGAGGCUGAGGCAGGAGGAUUGCGUGUGCAAAGCCAGCCUCAGCAACCAUGAGGCACGAAGCACCUCAGUGAGACCCUGUCUCUA